rfam:Clostridium hylemonae DSM 15053 genomic scaffold Scfld_02_0, whole genome shotgun sequence.
CAAGUAAGACAGGUAAUCGCAGCUGCAGAGGCCGAAAGGCCGCAGGUGAGGAAAGUCCGGGCUUCACAGGGCAGGAUGCCGGAUAACGUCCGGUGGAGGCGACUCCAAGGCCAGUGCAACAGAAAUGUACCGCCCAGAAUAUCUGGGUAAGGGUGGAAGGGCAGUGUAAGAGACUACCGCCUCUCUGGCAACAGAGAGGGCACAUGUAAACCCCAUCCGAAGCAAGACCGGAUAAAGGCAUUGUGGCGGCCCGCCACGCCUUAGGUAGGUUGCUGGAACCUGCUGGCGACAGCAGGUCUAGAUAGAUGAUUACCCAACGACAUAACCCGGCUUAUCGUCUUGCUUGCCUU